rnacentral:rRNA from 2 species
CAGCGCGAGGUAGCAAUACUUUGGCGGCGACCGGCGCACGGGUGCGUAACACGUAUGUAACUUACCUCUUACAAUCGGAUAACACGGUGAAAGUCGUGCUAAUACGGUAUAGUUUCGCAAGCUCGCAUGGGUAUGCGAAUAAAGAUUUAUCGGUAAGAGAUAGACAUGCGGUCCAUUAGAUAGUUGGUGAGGUAACGGCUCACCAAGUCGACGAUGGAUAGGGGGACUGAGAGGUUGACCCCCACACUGGUACUGAGACACGGACCAGACUCC